UGAAGACAGCUUGUCUGUCAAAAUGUUGGAUAUUAGGUUAUUCAAUUAUUGCAUCUGAGUUCCUAGAGUGUGCGGCUCUCCUUUUCUUUUUCAAGUGUUCUACGCCGCUAGCCAGCACCUCGCCUAAACAGGUGUGCGUUUCUUUCGCCUCCAGAUUUGAGUCAUAUAUACACAUAAGCAGCACUGCCCAUCCCCCAGAGAAAUGCUUGAACCUCAACAUGGCUACAAGUUGCUGUUCAGGGCAUGGACUUGUUUUGGUAGAAGACGCAUUUGAGCAAGCAAGGGAUGGCCUUAUUGCUUCUGGACAUUACUUCUCUCUCUUUUCUCUCCUUUAGUUCCAUAUCGCCAGCACUAUUCCCCUCUCUCUUCAACCCUGACUCAUGUUUCUCAAUCUCAUCCCCUCUUUCUGCUUCCCCUCCCUCUCUAUCACAG
rnacentral:lncRNA from 1 species